UGUGGGAUAUUGCACAAUGGGCGAAAGCCUGAUGCAGCGACGCCGCGUGGGGGAUGAAGGCCUUCGGGUGGUAAACUUCGUUUGCUCUGAACAAGGCGCACCAUGGGGUGUGUUGAGUGUAGGGGUUGAUUAGCGCCGGCUAACUACGUGCCAGCAGCCGCGGUAAUACGUAGGGCGCGAGCGUUGUCCGGAAUUAUUGGGCGUAAAGGGCUUGGAGGUGGCUGGUUGAGUUUGUUGUGAAAGCUCAUGGCUUAACUGUGGGUUUGCGUUGGGUACGGGCUGGCUUGAGGUCCGUAGGGGAGGCUGGAAUUCCUGGUGUAGCGGUGGAAUGCGCAGAUAUCAGGAGGAAUACCGGUGGCGAAGGCGGGUCUCUGGGCUGUUACUGACACUGAGGAGCGAAAGCAUGGGGAGCGAACAGG
rnacentral:rRNA from 1 species